CACCAGAUUUUCUAUGCAUCUUAGUCAAAACUAAGAUGCAUGGAAACCAUGAGUUUCUAUGCAUCUUAGUCAAAACGAAUACUUGCCAAAAUUGUUCAUCCAUAUUGAAUUGUUUUUCGAAUAUUAUUUAUAAAAACAAGAUUAAAAAUGUAUUCAUCUGAUGAGGAUCUAGCAGAAGCAGCCAAUAAUGCAACUAUGGAUCUAUUGCCUCAAAAAUCUGAAGUUUUCCAUAACAUUUAAAAGCACGAGUUCCUUCCCAAACUUAAUGAAAUGAAUUCAUAGUGUUCUACAGUGCUACAAGUAUGUAUAGGUAUUCUAUUCUGUAGGCUAUUGUCGAGGCUAUUGUGUACUGCGAUGAAUUGAGCGGAAUUGUAAAGAAUUGAACAGAAUUAUGAUGAAUUUGACGUGUGAGGAACUGAAUGGAAUUGCGGGUAUAGAACACAGCAAGUGAUAGGCGACGAGGUCAUUCUCUAAGAUGGCAUCAUAGAAAAAACGAAUGCGUCUGCAAAAAUGAAAAUGAAGCGAAAAUGAAGACUUUGUAUGAAAAAGAAUAUGUGGCCGUUCUGUACUUGAAGAAAUAAUAAAAACGCCAUUGGUGUCAACAAAAAAAGUCUGCCAACAUUUUUUUCUAAUAACAUCGAAACAGACGAAACAUUAGAACACGAGAUAUGGAAAUACCGGGAAUUUUACGUUUGUCCAUCCUCAACGCACCUGGAAAAGCUGAAAUUUGUAUGAGACCAUCUGAAUAACUAGAUAUAUCGAAUUCCAUUAAAAUCGGAUUAAUAUUUUAGAAGUUAAGGCUGACACUCAUAACGACCGACAGACAGACAAGAAAACAAAGUUUUUCAGGAUGUUCUGAAACGCAUUUUGCUAGUGGAAAUUUGAAAUCGGAGACCAAAAAUAUGAAGAAAAUAUAUUUUUUGAAAAACUGACAGCAUACAAC